AGCGAACGUUAGCGGCGGGCCUAACACAUGCAAGUCGAGCGAGAAAGUGGCUUCGGCCAUCAGUAAAGCGGCGGACGGGUGAGUAACACGUAGGUAAUCUUCCCUUGAGCGGGGGACAACGUUUCGAAAGGAACGCUAAUACCGCAUAAGUUUCCAGGGCCUCUGGGUCUUGGAAGGAAAGCUAGGUCGCAAGAUCCGGCACUCGAGGAGGAGCCUGCGUCGCAUCAGCUAGUUGGUGGGGUAANGGCCUACCAAGGCGAAGACGCGUAGCUGGUCUGAGAGGAUGAUCAGCCACACUGGGACUGAGACACGGCCCAGACUCCUACGGGAGGCAGCAGUGGGGAAUAUUGGACAAUGGGCGCAAGCCUGAUCCAGCCACGCCGCGUGAGUGAUGAAGGCCG
rnacentral:rRNA from 1 species